rnacentral:rRNA from 1 species
CACCAAUUGCGAAGGCAUAUCACUAACAAUAUACUGACGCUGAUGAACGAAAGCGUAGGUAGCCAACAGGAUUAGAUACCCUGGUAGUCUACGCUGUAAACGAUGGUUACUAGCUGUUUGUCACGCCUUAGGCGAGAUGAGUGGUUAAGCGAAAGUGAUAAGUAACCCACCUGGGGAGUACGUUUGCAAGAAUGAAACUCAAAGGAAUUGACGGGGGCCCGCACAAGCGGUGGAGCAUGUGGUUUAAUUCGAUGAUACGCGAGGAACCUUACCAAGGCUUAAAUGCAUAUUGACGAUUCACGAAAGUGGAUUUUCUUCGGACAAUUUGCAAGGUGCUGCAUGGUUGUCGUCAGCUCGUGCCGUGAGGUGUCAGGUUAAGUCCUAUAACGAGCGCAACCCCUGUGGUUAGUUACCAGCAUGUAAUGAUGGGGACUCUAGCCAGACUGCCGGUGCAAACCGUGAGGAAGGUGGGGAUGACGUCAAAUCAUCACGGCCCUUGCGCCUUGGGCUACACACGUGCUACAAUGGUAUAUACAAUGAGCAGCCAUCUGGCGACAGAGCGCUAAUCUAUAAAGUAUAUCACAGUUCGAAUCGGAGUCUGCAACUCGACUCUGUGAAGCUGGAAUCGCUAGUAAUCGCACAUCAGCCAUGGUGCGGUGAAUACGUUCCCGGGCCUUGUACACACCGCCCGU